GGUUUUAUGUGGUAUAAUAUAAGAUUAAUUCUGCUCCAUGAUAUUAAAAUUAAAUAGCCGCAGUAUCUAUUGACUGUGCAAAGGUAGCAUAAUCAGUUGUUUCUUAAUUGGGAACUGGUAUAAAGGAAUAAAUGAAAUUUAAACUGUCUUUAAUAUAAAUUUAAAAAUUUAAAUUUUUAGUAAAAAUGCUAAGAUGUGAUUAUGGGACGAGAAGACCCUAUAGAAUUUUAUAUAGGGCUAAAUAAUAUAUUUUAUUAUUAAAUUUAGAUUUAUAUUUAGUUGGGAGGAUUCUUAAAUUUAAUUAACUUUAAGAUGAAAAAACAUUAAUUUAUGAUUUGUGUUAAAAUGAAUAAAAUUUAAAAUUUUAUAGAAAAAUUAAUUACCUUAGGGAUAACAGCGUAAUAUUUUUAAAAAGAUCUUAUUGAUAAAAGUGAUUGCGACCUCGAUAGGUUGAAUUAAAAUAAAAAUUAAAUGGAGAAGUUUAAUAUUUUAGUCUGUUCGACUAUUAAAAUUUUA
rnacentral:rRNA from 1 species